CCGUCGGCAAACGCGCAGCGUUGUGCUGGGACGCGACUUGGUUAAGGCUUCUAUACGGCAUUUGAUGAUGCAUUUCAUGGUGGUACUCCGGCAAACGCGAGACAUGUUGACACGACUCUAGGUCCACAUGGCCAUGCUGUGCACGAAGCUGUCUCAAGCAAGCCUCGUCAUUCAUAUGAGUUCCAAGGUAAUCAGUAGGAGUUCCUUGGAAUGACAUUGACGAGGAAAUGGCACUCGCCGGUUUUGCGU
rnacentral:lncRNA from 1 species